rnacentral:lncRNA from 1 species
AUACUGUGGGCUGGGAACUUCCAGUUAAAAUAUCUGAGUGGAAAAAAAAGCAGGAAAAUGUAAUUCUAUCCUCCAUAAAAGAUAGAACAAACGUGUCAGAACAAAUAAGAAUUAGGAAAGAAAGACAAAUUUAAAGUAAGUACCUUCAGCCAGCCUAGGUCAGCAAAAGACUUCCCAGUAAGUUAAAAAAGAAAGACCUGGCCAGCAGGAGCCUAGAUAAAAUAACUGCAGUUUCCAGAGACCUUCUUCCAGUUUAAACAAUCUCAGCAUGCUCAAGCCAGAAAGCCCCAGGGUGGUCAAGUACACCCCAGCAGGGAACAGAAGAUGAAGUGCACUAGCAAGGAAGCCCCAGGGUGGUUAAGCAUCGUUGGCUCUCUGGGUCCUGACAAGACAUGGAGACAGGAAUCAGCAGCUUUCAAAGAGCAGAAUUUCCUACUGAGAGGUCAGUAACCAAAGCACACAAUUUAAAAGACACUGAAUGUUUUUAACAAUAAAGCAAGAGCCACUCCAGAAAACCUAGAAAGUUUAGGUGAGCCUGGUACCUAGAAGUCCUUUGUGGACAGCAUACAUCAGGGGAAAGAGGUCCUGGGUUCAAAUGUGACCUCAGACACUUCUAAAUGUGUGACCCUGGGCAGGUCACUUAACCCUCACUACCUAUCCCUUACUGCUCUUCUUCCUUGGAACUAAUUCAUUGUAUUGAUAUGGGAGAAAGACAAGAAGGUAGGAAGGAAGAAAGGAAGGAAGGAAGGAAGGAAGGAAGGAAGGAAGGAAGGAAGGAAGGAAGGAAGGAAGGAAGGAAGGAAGGAAGGAAGGAAGGAAGGAAGGAAGGAAGAAAUAUAUACUACUAUUAUCCAAAAUUAUGAAAGAUCUUUAAAGAAUUCAGCUUAUUCAUUUGCCACUGAAACCUAAUUUUUAUCUAUUCAAGUUUUCUGAAAAAUGCCACUAAAAGAUAUCUCCCCACAAAAAUCAUCCUGAAAAUUUAAAUAUAGCAGUACUCCCAGCACAUGAAAGGGUAUUGGUUAUGGCUUUAUGCCUUUUUACAAUAAAGAAAACUUGUUUUUGAAAUGAGAGAUAAAU